AGAGUUUGAUCAUGGCUCAGAANGAACGCUGGCGGCAUGCCUAAUACAUGCAAGUCGUGCGGAAACACUUCGGGUGUCGAGCGGCGGACGGGUGAGUAACGCGUUAGUAUCUGCCCCAAACUGAGGGAUAAGCUAUCGAAAGAUAGUCUAGUACCACAUGUGGUCUUCGGAUUAAAGCCUUCGGGCGGUUUGGGAGGAGCUUGCGCCUGAUUAGCUAGUUGGUAAGGUAAUAGCUUACCAAGGCUACGAUCAGUAGCUGGUCUGAGAGGAUGAUCAGUCACACUGGAACUGAGACACGGUCCAGACUUCUACGGAAGGCAGCAGUAGGGAAUUUUCCACAAUGGGGGCAACCCUGAUGGAGCAAUGCCGCGUGCAGGACGAAGGCCUUCGGGUCGUAAACUGCUUUUAUAGGGGAUGAUUACGACAGUACCCUACGAAUAAGGAUCGGCAAACUCCGUGCCAGCAGCCGCGGUCAUACGGAGGAUCCAAGCGUUGUUCGGAAUUACUGGGCGUAAAGAGAUGCGUAGGCGGUCCGGCAAGUUUCUACUGAAAGCUCAAGGCUCAACCUUGAGACUAGUAGAAAAACUGCUGAACUAGAGAAUAUGAGGGGAACCUGGAAUUUCUGGUGUAGGAGUGAAAUCCGUAGAUAUCAGAAGGAACACCAAUGGCGAAGGCAGGGUUCUGGCAUAUUUCUGACGCUGAGGCUCGAAAGCGUGGGGAGCGAACGGGAUUAGAUACCCCGGUAGUCCACGCCGUAAACGAUGAACAAUAGCUAUUGAGGGGUAUCGACCCCCUUCGAAGCGAAGCUAACGCGUUAAGUGUUCCGCCUGAGGACUACGGCCGCAGGCUAAACUCAAGGAAUUGACGGGACCCGCACAGCGGUGGAGCGUGUUGUUUAAUUGGAUGAUAGCCAAGACCUUACCAGACUUGACAUCCU
rnacentral:rRNA from 1 species